rnacentral:rRNA from 1 species
CCCUUAGAUGUUCUGGGCCGCACGCGUGCUACACUGAGUGGAUCAGCGGGUCAGGUUGCGCGAAAGUGUUUCCUAAUCUUGAAAUCCGCUCGUGAUGGGGAUUGACGGUUGCAAUUUUCCGUCAUGAACGAGGAAUACCUUGUAAGCGCGGGUCAUCAUCCCGCGCUGAAUACGUCCCUGCCCUUUGUACACACCGCCCGUCGCUCCUACCGAUUGAGUGGUCCGGUGAGGCUUUGGGAUCUGAGCGGAAAGAGCGUUUCGCUGUUUCUGCUCGGAAAACUCAGUCGAACCUUAUCAUUUAGAGAAAGGAGAAGUCGUAACA